UUGUCCAAAUUAGCCACUUCGGUGCCAAGGACCUACCCCAAAGAUCAUUCUUUGAAAUUCUAGAGAAGCCUAGCACCGAGGAGCCAGUCCCUGUUCUAUAGAUUGAUGAUGAGCCAAGUAGGAUGGACCCCUUUAUCUACUUUCUAUGGGAUGGGACACUGCUCCCGAAUUCAAAGGAGGCUUGAAAAAUCAAAUAUUAAGCCUUCUGUUAUAUCCUCUAUGAAGGUAAGCUCUACUAGCAAUCUUUCUCCUUCCCGCUCCUUAAAUUUCUUCAUCCCUUCGAAGCUGACUUUACCUU
rnacentral:lncRNA from 1 species